rnacentral:rRNA from 1 species
CACGGAGUUAGCCGGUGCUUAUUCACUAGGUACCGUCAGUGUAGGACGCAUCCCACUUUUUCUUCCCUAGCAAAAGCCGUUUACAACCCAGAAGGCCUUCUUCCGGCACGCGGCAUGGCUGGGUCAGCCUCUCGGCCAUUGCCCAAUAUUCCCUACUGCUGCCUCCCGUAGGAGUCUGGCCCGUAUCUCAGUGCCAGUGUGGGGGAUCACCCUCUCGGGUCCCCUAAGCAUCGUCGCCUUGGUGGGCCCUUACCCCGCCAACUAGCUAAUGCUACGCAACCCCAUCCGUGACCAAUAAAUCUUUCCCUAUUGUGUGAUGCCACACUACAGGGGUAUGCGGUAUUAAUCCGCCUUUCGGCGGGCUAUCCCCCAGUCACGGGCAGGUUGGUUACGCGUUACGCACCCGUGCGCCACUAUCUCUAUUGCUAGAGACCGUUCGACUUGCAUGUAUUAGGCCUGCCGCUAGCGUUCAUCCUGAGCCAGGAUCAAACU